rnacentral:rRNA from 1 species
CACGUAGGGACCAAGCGUUGUCCGGAUUCAUUGGGCGUAAAGAGCUCGUAGGCGGCUGUCCACGUCGGGUGUGAAAGCUCAGGGCUCAACCCUGAGAUGCCAUUCGAUACGGGACGGCUAGAGGUAGGUAGGGGAGAUUGGAAUUCCUGGUGUAGCGGUGAAAUGCGCAGAUAUCAGGAGGAACACCGGUGGCGAAGGCGGAUCUCUGGGCCUUACCUGACGCUGAGGAGCGAAAGCUGGGGGAGCAAACAGG